rnacentral:tRNA from 1 species
AGGGUUGUAUCUUAACUGGUAAAGCACUUGUCUGAUAUGUCAGAAGCCCUGGGUUCGAAGCCCAGCACCUCAG